rnacentral:rRNA from 1 species
AUUGAACGCUGGCGGCAUGCUUUACACAUGCAAGUCGAACGGUAACAGGCCGCAAGGUGCUGACGAGUGGCGAACGGGUGAGUAAUGCAUCGGAACGUGCCCAGUCGUGGGGGAUAACUACUCGAAAGAGUAGCUAAUACCGCAUACGAUCUAUGGAUGAAAGCGGGGGACCGUAAGGCCUCGCGCGAUUGGAGCGGCCGAUGUCAGAUUAGGUAGUUGGUGGGGUAUAGGCUCACCAAGCCAACGAUCUGUAGCUGGUCUGAGAGGACGACCAGCCACACUGGGACUGAGACACGGCCCAGACUCCUACGGGAGGCAGCAGUGGGGAAUUUUGGACAAUGGGCGCAAGCCUGAUCCAGCAAUGCCGCGUGCAGGAAGAAGGCCUUCGGGUUGUAAACUGCUUUUGUACGGAACGAAACGGCUCUGGUUAAUACCCGGGGCUAAUGACGGUACCGUAAGAAUAAGCACCGGCUAACUACGUG